UAACCCUUAAUAUAAAAACGGAAAAGUGGGAAGACGUUAUAUGGAGGCCUCUAACCGAGAGUCCAAACCUUUGAUAUUGUGAAAAGCUUUCCCUGUUCGUUUCUCUGUUCGAUACCCUCUCACUGAGAGUCCACCGCCGAUGACUGAUUCACUUCUCGUUGUUCAAACCUUUGGUCAGCCACAAGCCUCGUUUGGUUCUGGUUGUUCGAAGCAAAGAUGGAUGCAGUUGAGGGUUCUAACUCAAAAAUUGUUACAUGGCCUUCUGAGAUAUCUCACUACUAUUUGGAGCGUCUUCUGCACCAACAACAAAGUGGGAAGAAUGGGGAUAAUGGGUUGAAAAAAUAACAAUUUCAAUUACUCUCAACUGAAUUAUAUGAUAGAUUUCAUAUGACAUAUGUCUGGGGAUAGUGCCGCAAUCACUACAGGAUAUGGAAAGCAAGGCUGAAGUCUCUUGGUGACAUGCAAAAAAAGUGGAAUGGGUUGGAAUGACCAUGAGAAGCGGUUUGAUGCACCACAUCAUGUGUGGAAUGAAUUCAAGAGCAGAGAUUUUGGAAAGAGCAUAGCGUGCUUUCCAUUCACCUAAAAGUUUCCGAUUGGCUUUGUAAUGAAGUUGCUACCGGGGCUGGAUCUUCACACUCAUCUGAUGCUAUCAAUGAGGACCAGCCUUACAUUCCAGUGCCAAUUGAUGAUUUCAUUAGCAUGGACAAUUAUGACGAUGUUGAUGAAAAUGUUGGUGAAAGUGCCCGUUAUACUCCCAAUGCAAGUAGCAGUCGUUCCCGUGGUAGGCCUAGUUCAGGGGUGACAAGCAAAGAGAAGAAGAAGAAAGGAGGUGCAGAGAAGGUUAGUAGUCCUUUGAAGGUGAUAGCAAAUGCAAUAGUGGAGAUGGCCAAGCAAGACCCCCGGAAGGAAUUUGCAAAAAACUUAUGUAUUGAGAUUGAUGCACUUCCAGGAGUUGAGAUUGAUAAAAAAUUGCGUGCUAAACAAUUCUUCAUGCAACAUAAGGAAUUAGCUCCCAUCUUCUUGAAUGCCUCUUUGGCAAAUAAGCUUAAGGUGUUUGAACACUACAUGAAGAAUAUCAAAGAUAGUGGUCAAGACUGACGAGGUGAUGUAAUAUUUACUCGAAUUUAGCCUUAUGUUUUCAUUCUUUUGUGACUUAUAUGGGCUCUCUUUGGGUUUGGAUUAACGUUCAGCUUACCUUGAUAAAACAAAAAAAAAAAAUUCCUCUUUCCUAGUGUGCACUGUUUCCAUUAAUUUAUUGCAACCCUUUUCUUAUUUCUCCUCUUUGUUUUUGGUCGGUCAUUGAUUUUUCCCUAAUGUGAAUGUUGUGGAGGAUUUAAUUCAUUUGUUUCAUCCAGUUUUGUUUUUUGCUGGGUUGGUUCUGUUCUGUUUAUUGAUGAUACUCUCAGUAUUUUGUUUAGUAUUUGAGGUGAUGGGUUUGACAUUCUGGUGAUGUAUCUUGUGUCUGCAGAAGCUUCUAGUGUGCAUUUGAUUUCUCUUGUUUUUUAGGUAGACAGUUUAAUCUGUAUAAAUUUUGAUGGAUAUCUUAGCAGAGCAGAGAGGGGACAUGGGGUCCUUGCAUUGAAUAUUUUUGCUGAAAAGAGUCUGUUUGUUAUUUCAUAUCAAAAAACAAAUUGUUUUUGCUGGAAUUGUGCUUGUUAGAACAGUAAUUUUUUCUUUUAUGCUGCAUCCAAUUUGACUUUUGAAUAUGCACUUUUUUUUUUUGGUCUUCCUGUUAGUCUGCUGUAAUACAAAUGAAAUCAUAAAUUUUCUCACAAUUGUUACAUUGCAAUUACCUAUAAUUUCUAUCAAUCAAUUGUUGCAUGAAUCCAAAGGUUACAACAAUGCAGUAGCUGUCACUAUAAUUUCAAUCAAUUGUUGUGUGUCUUUCUAGCUGGAGAUUUCAAUGGCUUUGACCUCUGGUUUUUUACUUCUUCUUUAGGAACAGUAACAGCAAGCACUCCAUUCUACAUAGCAGCAGCCUUCACCUGAUCCAUCUUCGCAUUCUCAUGCAACUUGAACCUCCUCAAGAACUUGCCACUGCUACUCUCAUUUCGGUGCCAUUGGUCGUUCGUCUUUUCCUUCUCUUGGGCCCUCUCUCCACUGAUCUGAACUACUCUGCUCUUGAUCAACUUUCAAGAUGUGAGCUUCUGGGUCUCCUUCCAAUUCAUUUCGGGCAACAAAAAGGGAAGUUAAGAAGGGGAAGUCAUUGGAAUUGAAUGGAUCCCAGCAUCUUACGGACUCCAAUUCAUCCAUUACAUUCUAUCAAGAGCCACAUCUUUUCUUGUCCUCCCUUUUACCUUUAAAACUUCUGAACUAAAAUUAAGAAUGAUGAGAGGAAAUAAAACCAUAUUGUAUUCUAGUGUGCAUUUGAUUUCUCUUUUUUUUAGCUAGACAAUUUAAUAUGUAUAAAUUUUUUGUUUUUUUUUCUGUUGUUAGUGCUGAGCUAAAGGUUGUUUGUGAUAUGUGUUUGUUAUUUUGAUACAGAGAGUGAAGACACUCGAGUCUAGUGGCGGCUGGGGAAGCUGAGAUUUGAGAUGUUUUUUGUGGGUUGGAAAUGCAGUUGCAUGCCUUAGCA